rnacentral:rRNA from 1 species
UACGGAGGGUGCGAGCGUUGUCCGGAAUCAUUGGGCGUAAAGCGCGCGUAGGCGGUUGCUUAAGUCGGAUGUGAAAGCCCUCGGCUUAACUGAGGAAGUGCAUCCGAAACUGAGCAGCUAGAGUACGAAAGAGGGUCGCGGAAUUCCCGGUGUAGAGGUGAAAUUCGUAGAUAUCGGGAGGAACACCGGUGGCGAAGGCGGCGACCUGGGUCGAGACUGACGCUGAGGCGCGAAAGCGUGGGGAGCGAACAGG